rnacentral:rRNA from 1 species
UACGUAGGUGGCAAGCGUUGUCCGGAAUUACUGGGUGUAAAGGGCGUGUAGACGGGACUAUUAGUCAGAUGUGAAAUUUCCAGGCUUAACUUGGAGGCUGCAUCUGAAACUGUAGUUCUUGAGUAUCGGAGAGGAAAGCGGAAUUCCUAGUGUAGCGGUGAAAUGCGUAGAUAUGUGGAGGAACACCGAUGGCGAAGGCAGCCUCCUGGGCCAGCACUGACGCUCAUGCACGAAAGCGUGGGGAGCAAACAGG